UAGUAACGGCGAGUGAAGAGGGAAAAGCUCAAAUUUUGAAUCUGGUGUCUUUGGCGCCCGAGUUGUAAUCUAGAGAAGUGUUUUCUGCCUCGGACCACACAUAAAUUCCCUGGAAUGGGGUGUCAUAGAGGGUGAGAAUCCCGUUUGUGGUGUGGACUACCUUGGCUCUGUGAUACACUCUCAACGAGUCGAGUUGUUUGGGAAUGCAGCUCAAAAUGGGUGGUAAAUUCCAUCUAAAGCUAAAUAUUGGCGAGAGACCGAUAGCGAACAAGUACCGUGAGGGAAAGAUGAAAAGCACUUUGGAAAGAGAGUGAAACAGUACGUGAAAUUGUUGAAAGGGAAGCGUUUGAAGUCAGUCACAUCGGUCGGAAUUCAGCCUGGCUUUGCCUGGUGUACUUUCUGGCAGAUGGGUCAGCGUCAAUUUUGACUGAGGGAAAAAGACUUGAGGAAUGUGGCUGUCUUCGGGCAGUGUUAUAGCCUCUUGUUGUAUGUCUCAGUUGGGAUUGAGGACCGCAGCACGCCUUAUGGCCGGGGUUCGCGCCCUCGGAACGUGCUUAGGA
rnacentral:rRNA from 1 species